rnacentral:rRNA from 1 species
AUAAUCAUGGAGUAUAAUAAUUAAAUUUAAUAAAUUUAAUAUAACUAUUAAUAGAAUUAGGUUACUAAUAAAUUAAUAACAAUUAAUUUUAAAACCUAAAGGUAAACCUUUAUAUUAAUAAUGUUUUUUUUUAUUAUUUUUAUAAUAAGAAUAAUUAUUAAUAAUAAUAAACUAAGUGAACUGAAACAUCUAAGUAACUUAAGGAUAAGAAAUCAACAGAGAUAUUAUGAGUAUUGGUGAGAGAAAAUAAUAAAGGUCUAAUAAGUAUUAUGUGAAAAAAAUGUAAGAAAAUAGGAUAACAAAUUCUAAGACUAAAUACUAUUAAUAAGUAUAGUAAGUACCGUAAGGGAAAGUAUGAAAAUGAUUAUUUUAUAAGCAAUCAUGAAUAUAUUAUAUUAUAUUAAUGAUGUACCUUUUGUAUAAUGGGUCAGCAAGUAAUUAAUAUUAGUAAAACAAUAAGUUAUAAAUAAAUAGAAUAAUAUAUAUAUAUAUAAAAAUAUAUUAAAAUAUUUAAUUAAUAUUAAUUGACCCGAAAGCAAACGAUCUAACUAUGAUAAGAUGGAUAAACGAUCGAACAGGUUGAUGUUGCAAUAUCAUCUGAUUAAUUGUGGUUAGUAGUGAAAGACAAAUCUGGUUUGCAGAUAGCUGGUUUUCUAUGAAAUAUAUGUAAGUAUAGCCUUUAUAAAUAAUAAUUAUUAUAUAAUAUUAUAUUAAUAUUAUAUAAAGAAUGGUACAGCAAUUAAUAUAUAUUAGGGAACUAUUAAAGUUUUAUUAAUAAUAUUAAAUCUCGAAAUAUUUAAUUAUAUAUAAUAAAGAGUCAGAUUAUGUGCGAUAAGGUAAAUAAUCUAAAGGGAAACAGCCCAGAUUAAGAUAUAAAGUUCCUAAUAAAUAAUAAGUGAAAUAAAUAUUAAAAUAUUAUAAUAUAAUCAGUUAAUGGGUUUGACAAUAACCAUUUUUUAAUGAACAUGUAACAAUGCACUGAUUUAUAAUAAAUAAAAAAAAUAAUAUUUAAAAUCAAAUAUAUAUAUAUUUGUUAAUAGAUAAUAUACGGAUCUUAAUAAUAAGAAUUAUUUAAUUCCUAAUAUGGAAUAUUAUAUUUUUAUAAUAAAAAUAUAAAUACUGAAUAUCUAAAUAUUAUUAUUACUUUUUUUUUUAAUAAUAAUAAUAUGGUAAUAGAACAUUUAAUGAUAAUAUAUAUUAGUUAUUAAUUAAUAUAUGUAUUAAUUAAAUAGAGAAUGCUGACAUGAGUAACGAAAAAAAGGUAUAAACCUUUUCACCUAAAACAUAAGGUUUAACUAUAAAAGUACGGCCCCUAAUUAAAUUAAUAAGAAUAUAAAUAUAUUUAAGAUGGGAUAAUCUAUAUUAAUAAAAAUUUAUCUUAAAAUAUAUAUAUUAUUAAUAAUUAUAUUAAUAAUAUAUAUAAUUAUAUUAUAUAUUAUAUAUUUUUUAUAUAAUAUAAACUAAUAAAGAUCAGGAAAUAAUUAAUGUAUACCGUAAUGUAGACCGACUCAGGUAUGUAAGUAGAGAAUAUGAAGGUGAAUUAGAUAAUUAAAGGGAAGGAACUCGGCAAAGAUAGCUCAUAAGUUAGUCAAUAAAGAGUAAUAAGAACAAAGUUGUACAACUGUUUACUAAAAACACCGCACUUUGCAGAAACGAUAAGUUUAAGUAUAAGGUGUGAACUCUGCUCCAUGCUUAAUAUAUAAAUAAAAUUAUUUAACGAUAAUUUAAUUAAAUUUAGGUAAAUAGCAGCCUUAUUAUGAGGGUUAUAAUGUAGCGAAAUUCCUUGGCCUAUAAUUGAGGUCCCGCAUGAAUGACGUAAUGAUACAACAACUGUCUCCCCUUUAAGCUAAGUGAAAUUGAAAUCGUAGUGAAGAUGCUAUGUACCUUCAGCAAGACGGAAAGACCCUAUGCAGCUUUACUGUAAUUAGAUAGAUCGAAUUAUUGUUUAUUAUAUUCAGCAUAUUAAGUAAUCCUAUUAUUAGGUAAUCGUUUAGAUAUUAAUGAGAUACUUAUUAUAAUAUAAUGAUAAUUCUAAUCUUAUAAAUAAUUAUUAUUAUUAUUAUUAAUAAUAAUAAUAUGCUUUCAAGCAUAGUGAUAAAACAUAUUUAUAUGAUAAUCACUUUACUUAAUAGAUAUAAUUCUUAAGUAAUAUAUAAUAUAUAUUAUAUAUAUAUUAUAUAUAAUAUAAGAGACAAUCUCUAAUUGGUAGUUUUGAUGGGGCGUCAUUAUCAGCAAAAGUAUCUGAAUAAGUCCAUAAAUAAAUAUAUAAAAUUAUUGAAUAAAAAAAAUAAUAUAUAUUAUAUAUAUUAAUUAUAAAUUGAAAUAUGUUUAUAUAAAUUUAUAUUUAUUGAAUAUAUUUUAGUAAUAGAUAAAAAUAUGUACAGUAAAAUUGUAAGGAAAACAAUAAUAACUUUCUUAAAAAUAAUUAUGGAAAGAAUUAAAUUAAUAUAAUGGUAUAACUGUGCGAUAAUUGUAACACAAACGAGUGAAACAAGUACGUAAGUAUGGCAUAAUGAACAAAUAACACUGAUUGUAAAGGUUAUUGAUAACGAAUAAAAGUUACGCUAGGGAUAACAGGGUAAUAUAACGAAAGAGUAGAUAUUGUAAGUUAUGUUUGCCACCUCGAUGUCGACUCAACAUUUCCUCUUGGUUGUAAAAGCUAAGAAGGGUUUGACUGUUCGUCAAUUAAAAUGUUACGUGAGUUGGGUUAAAUACGAUGUGAAUCAGUAUGGUUCCUAUCUGCUGAAGGAAAUAUUAUCAAAUUAAAUCUCAUUAUUAGUACGCAAGGACCAUAAUGAAUCAACCCAUGGUGUAUCUAUUGAUAAUAAUAUAAUAUAUUUAAUAAAAAUAAUACUUUAUUAAUAUAUUAUCUAUAUUAGUUUAUAUUUUAAUUAUAUAUUAUCAUAGUAGAUAAGCUAAGUUGAUAAUAAAUAAAUAUUGAAUACAUAUUAAAUAUGAAGUUGUUUUAAUAAGAUAAUUAAUCUGAUAAUUUUAUACUAAAAUUAAUAAUUAUAGGUUUUAUAUAUUAUUUAUAAAUAAAUAUAUUAUAAUAAUAAUAAUUAUUAUUAUUAAUAAAAAAUAU